UACGUAGGGACCAAGCGUUGUUCGGAUUUACUGGGCGUAAAGGGCGCGUAGGCGGGCUGUCCAGUCUGGGGUGAAAUCCCGCGGCUCAACCGUGGAACUGCCUCAGAUACUGACGGCCUCGAGGGAGGUAGGGGCGUGCGGAACUGUAGGUGGAGCGGUGAAAUGCGUUGAUAUCUACAGGAACUCCGGUGGCGAAGGCGGCGCGCUGGACCUCUUCUGACGCUGAGGCGCGAAAGCCAGGGGAGCAAACGGG
rnacentral:rRNA from 1 species